rnacentral:rRNA from 1 species
GACGAACGCUGGCGGCGUGCCUAAUACAUGCAAGUGGGACGCAAGGAAACACACUGUGCUUGCACACCGUGUUUUCUUGAGUCGCGAACGGGUGAGUAACGCGUAGGUAACCUGCCUAUUAGCGGGGGAUAACUAUUGGAAACGAUAGCUAAUACCGCAUAAUAUUCAUUAUUGCAUGUUAAUUGAUUGAAAGAUGCAAGCGCAUCACUAGUAGAUGGACCUGCGUUGUAUUAGCUAGUUGGUAAGGUAAGAGCUUACCAAGGCGACGAUACAUAGCCGACCUGAGAGGGUGAUCGGCCACACUGGGACUGAGACACGGCCCAGACUCCUACGGGAGGCAGCAGUAGGGAAUCUUCGGCAAUGGACGAAAGUCUGACCGAGCAACGCCGCGUGAGUGAAGAAGGUUUUCGGAUCGUAAAGCUCUGUUGUAAGUCAAGAACGUGUGUGAGAGUGGAAAGUUCACACAGUGACGGUAGCUUACCAGAAAGGGACGGCUAACUACGUG